rnacentral:rRNA from 2 species
ACGUACGACCAUAGGGUGUGGAAAACAGGGCUUCCCGUCCGCUCAGCCGUACUUAAGCCACACGCCGGCCGGUUAGUAGUUGGGUGGGUGACCACCAGCGAAUCCCGGCUGUUGUAUGUU